rnacentral:rRNA from 1 species
CAAAGGAGCGAUCCGGUGACGGAUGGGCAUGCGCCGCAUUAGUUAGUUGGCGGUGUAACGGACCACCAAGACGACGAUGCGUAGGGGUUCUGAGAGGAAGGUCCCCCACACUGGUACUGAGACACGGACCAGACUCCUACGGGAGGCAGCAGUGAGGAAUAUUGGUCAAUGGGCGAGAGCCUGAACCAGCCAAGUCGCGUGAGGGAAGACGGUCCUAUGGAUUGUAAACCUCUUUUGCCGGGGAGCAAAAAGCGGUACGUGUACCGCAUCGAGAGUACCCGGAGAAAAAGCAUCGGCUAACUCCGUGCCAGCAGCCGCGGUAAUACGGAGGAUGCGAGCGUUAUCCGGAUUUAUUGGGUUUAAAGGGUGCGCAGGCGGCGAGUUAAGUCAGCGGUAAAAUUUCGGGGCUCAACCCCGACAAGCCGUUGAAACUGGCUUGCUAGAGUGGGCGAGAAGUAUGCGGAAUGCGUGGUGUAGCGGUGAAAUGCAUAGAUAUCACGCAGAACUCCGAUUGCGAAGGCAGCAUACCGGCGCCCAACUGACGCUCAGGCACGAAAGCGUGGGUAUCGAACAGGAUUAGAUACCCUGGUAGUCCACGCAGUAAAC